rnacentral:rRNA from 1 species
UACGUAGGGUGCAAGCGUUAAUCGGAAUUACUGGGCGUAAAGCGCGCGUAGGCGGUGAUCUUUGUCAGAGGUGAAAUCCCGAGGCUCAACUUCGGAAUUGCCUUUGAAACGGGAUCGCUUGAGUCCGAGAGAGGAUGGCGGAAUUCCUAGUGUAGAGGUGAAAUUCGUAGAUAUUAGGAAGAACACCGGUGGCGAAGGCGGCCAUCUGGCUCGGUACUGACGCUCAGGCGCGAAAGCGUGGGGAGCAAACAGG